CCUACGUGUGACUGCAGUGAGGAAUAUUGGUCAAUGGUCGGGAGACUGAACCAGCCAAGCCGCGUGAGGGAUGAAGGUACAGAGUAUCGUAAACCUCUUUUGUCAGGGAACAAAGGCGGGGACGCGUCCCCGGAUGAGUGUACCUGAAGAAAAAGCAUCGGCUAACCCCGUGCCAGCAGCCGCGGUAAUACGGAGGAUGCGAGCGGUAUCCGGAUUUAUUGGGUUUAAGGGGUGCGAAGGCGGUCUGUUAUGUCAGCGUUAAAAGGCCGGGGCUCAACCCCGUCCCGCCAUUGAAACUGGCAGUCGCGAGUUGGAGAGAGGUAUGCGGAAUGCGCGGUGUAGCGGUGAAAUGCAUAGAUAUCGCGCAGAACUCCGAUUGCGAAGGCAGCAUGCCGGCUCCAAACUGACGCUGAGGCACGAAAGCGUGGGUAUCGAACAGGAUUAGAUACCCUUGUAGUC
rnacentral:rRNA from 1 species